rnacentral:tRNA from 1 species
GUUUUAAUAAUUUAUAUAAAAUAUUGGUCUUGUAAAUCAAAAAUAAGAAACAUCUUUUAAAACU